CUUUUCUGCCUACAGAAGUUCCUUCAACAUUUGCUGCUAAGCUGGCGUCUUCCUCAAGGGCUCACACCAGUGAGUACUCCCCCAGAAUGACUGACAGAAGUGUGCACAUCCCCGCCGUGAGCCACACUUGCCCCCUCGACCGCCUCCACAGGAGAGGCUCCAAUACUAGCAGGACUGCCAAGAAAAAUAUACAGACUGUUCUCUGCUCCUGGCUUGGCUUACAACCAAUAUUUAUGAGUUCUGCCAUGUGUCAGGAAGAAAAAGUCACUGGUACAUGGUGAUUCCUGCAUGGACAGGACAAAAAUCACGCACUGGUCUUUACUAGACACUGUUAGAUAACAAUGCUGUCUACUAAACAACGACUCAGUAUGAGCUGCUCUGGUACCACAGAUACCUGAGUGGAUAAAGCUCUGAAUGUGCUCCACC